rnacentral:rRNA from 1 species
GGAUGCGAUAAUACUAGCACUAAAGCACCGGAUCCCAUCAGAACUCCGAAGUUAAGCGUGCUUGGGCGAGAGUAGUACUAGGAUGGGUGACCUCCUGGGAAGUCCUCGUGUUGCAUUCC